CUCAAUGACUGCAAGGCUCCCAGGUCCUGUGGCUGCAAAACAAGCCCAAAUCAUUACCCCUACAUCACCGUGUUUUACAGUUGGUAUAAGGUGUUUGUACUCAUAUGCUGUGUUUGGCUUUCACCAAAAAUGGCGCUGUGCAUUAUGGCCUAACAUCUACACUUUGGUCUCAUCUGUACAAAGGACAUUGUUCCAGAAGUGUUGUACUUUGUUCAGGUGCAACUUUGCAAACCUAAGCCAUGCUGCCAUGUUCGUUUUAAAGAGAAG